rnacentral:rRNA from 1 species
UACGGGGGGGGCAAGCGUUGUUCGGAAUUACUGGGCGUAAAGGGCUCGUAGGCGGCCAAUUAAGUCGGAUGUGAAAUCCCCAGGCUUAACCUGGGAACUGCAUCCGAUACUGGAUGGCUUGAAUCCGGGAGAGGGAUGCAGAAUUCCAGGUGUAGCGGUGAAAUGCGUAGAUAUCUGGAGGAAUACCGGUGGCGAAGGCGGCAUCCUGGACCGGCAUUGACGCUGAUGAGCGAAAGCGUGGGGAGCAAACAGG